AGCCUCUGCCUCGCGGCCCUGAUAAAGCACACAGGCCAGAGCCCAGUAGUGCUUAGGAGAUGCGCUGUUUCAGGACAGCAUCUUCCAUCCUAGGCAUGGUGCACUUUUCUGUUCAUAUGCUUGACAGCAGCCACUCAGAAGUUACCUAUGUAUUCGCUCCUUUCCCACAGAUCCUCGAGAGUUUGAAAAGUUAUUUUUCUUAUGUUUAUCAGAUUGUACACUCUCAAAGCUCGAAACAUGGACUGGUCCAACGUCCUCAUUGUAAAUAAAGGAAACUAGUCUUCAAGGAGUUAAAAUGACUGGACCCAAGGUUACACAACUUGGAAGUGACAAAACUGAGAUUCAAGCCCAAGUCUCUGAUGCUACCUUCAGUGCUCUUUUUACUAGGAUAUUCCUGUGGUCAGAGAAUGGGGGGCAGGGGCUAUGUCUUAUUCACCUGUCUUAGUGUCUGGAAUCUAUUUUAGUGUCUGGAAAAGUUUAGGAACAAGUGCAUACAUGCACGCUCUUUCUACUCCUCCCUAGUCAAAUACAUAGUAUCGCAACCAAACCAUAAUACCAGUUAUUCUCAAAUAAUUUUUUAUAUUUGUGAGGUUUUGACAGUUAACAAAGUGAUUUUUGACUUGUUUGCUUUGAUUAUCAUAGUAAUUCUGGAGGCAAUAAUACUUGUUCUUUUUUAUACCAAAGGAAACUGAGCCUCAUAGGUCUAGUGGCUCAUUCAAGGUGGCACAGAGGGUCAGGGAAGAAGAUAAGAGUUGGAUCCAGCUCUCCUGGUUUCUAGCCAUGAACCUAGGGCUGUACUUAGCACAUUGUGGGGGGAAAUAGAAGGGUAGUAUGUGGUUCUUGCUCUCAAACUACAGUCCAGUUGUGGAGAUAAGAUCUACCAUCUGAUGUGUGGAGGUAAGUUACAGGUACUGAGGAAAUAGGUAAUGGAUGAAGUGGUACGGCUAUGACUGCUCUGGAAAUUUAAGAGAGGAAGUGGCCCCAAAGGCCUGUGGGAGACUAGAGAAGUCCUCAGAGAACAGAUGGGGGCCAAACUGGCACUGGAGGGUGAAUGUAAUUGUGACGGGUAGAGAGAACAUCGUUCUCAUGAAACGAGGCAGUUUUAAUGCUGGACGAAACUCAGCGGUGAUCACUUCCUACCCCUCCUUUUAUAGACAGGGAGACUGAAAUAGAAGCGAGGGACUCGUUCAGUAUUAUAAAGCCAUUUAUGAAAGACCUUUAUGUGUAGUCCCUGUGGACAGAGGGCAGAUAAGACAGAGUCCAUGCCCUUAGAAGUUUCUCAGGCUAACGGAAGGAGGAACAUGGAAACAAGUAGGUGCAUUCUGGUGUCAUUGAAGGAAUGAUGGAGUCUCUGUGGGGGCUAGUGCGGUUGCUAAGGAGGGUGCACUGAUUCUAUAGAGUAGCCAGCACAUUUAAAGGUCAAAGGAAUUCAUGUGAACUAGUCAAGGUCGGUCAAGGUCAAGUAGCAGACGCCAAACUCUGUCUCUCAACUGCUGAAACCACUGGCUAGAAGGAAUUUCUGCCUAGUUGUAGCUUAAGCUGGAACAAUGGAGAGAAGCAGACACUGAUGCUGGAAUCUGAGAGGCUGUGUUCCAGUUCUGACUCUGUCUCUUUCUGACUGUGUGGCAUUGAGCUUGUUACUCCCACUUCUAGAAGCAUCAGUUUUUUUGUUAUAAAAUGGAGGGAGGGGCUACUUUGCCCCUUUAAAGGUUGUGGGAGGAUCAGAGAAAAUAUCCAAGUGUAAGUGUUUAGUUACUUAUAAAAUGAUAAAGCAAUAUACAUGUUAAUUGUUAUUAUUCCUUCGGUAUAGAGCUUGAUGUGGAAGAAAAAAUCCUGGGUUGUAGUCAUCACCUCUCUGGCCCCUGCUUUCUUGUCUGUGGAAUGAGAUUAUAACCUGUUCCAUCUACCUUAUAGAAAUGGUAUAAAGUGGAAAAUACCAAGAUAACAAAAUGAUAGGUGUAAACAAACAAAAAGUAUGACUGUAUUCCUGGAUGGGGAUCAGUGAUGGAAUAGAAAGCAAACUGGGCAUUGUUACUGUAAACUCACAUUUGUAUCUUCAAUCCAUUUACAAAGAGCAUUCACAGACAUUAUCCCAUCCAAUUCCCUCAAUAGCUCUGUGAGACGAGCCUGUAGGGAUGAGCCUAUCACAGAUUAUUAGCCUCAUCUCACCGGCGAGAAAACUGAGACUCAGAGGAAGUGAUGAGCCCAGAAGCUGAAUCUCAGCCUGGCCUGGCCUCAGAGUCACCUCCCCUCCUUCCUUUCCAACCACUCCCAAUUUCCUAGUGCCCAGAACUCUGUCUUCAUGUGAGUCAGUUUGAAAGACAGGCUAGUCUUGUUCUUUUAGACUUCCCCCUUGCCAUGGGGAACAGGCAAGAUUUUAUCCCCCAUUCAGCUAGCCCUGGGCGUGCUUGAUAAAAAUCUUUCCCAGAAAUUGGCUAGAGAUCUCACCUGUAUGGGGUACCCCUGCAAACUAAUAAACAGAGCCACCUGUACCUUCAUCUUUGUUCAAAGGAUUCCAGAUGGGAGAAUGACACAGCUGGCACCCUCCUUAGGAUGCUUUCAGCUUCUUAGGCUGUCUUAGCCAAGACAUGCUCUGCUUUGUUCCUGAUCUCAGCUGAGGGCUGUCCUCCCCGUUAUGUAGGCAGGAAGCUAGGGGUUAUUGUCCACUUCUUGUUCGUGCUCCUCUUUUGCUGAAAACUUCCAGUGGCUGGAUCAAGCCAGUCUCCAUGUGUGUUCCCUUCUUCAUAAAGAUCCUAAGAAAGGGAGAAGAGGAGAAUUAUUCCAUAUGGGGAUUUGGGGACAUAAUUGAAUCGUGUUUUGUUAGAAGGUUUACUGCAAAAAAAUCUCUUCCACACUGUGGCCAUGGAACUUUGGGAGGCUGUUAAGCUGGAGCCUUCGGUGAGGCCUGAGUAUACAGAAUCCAGGAAGUAGGGCUUCACUUAGUCUUCUUUCAUCAAGGACAGUAUCUGGGUGUGAAGCAUACAGAUCCAAUUGGGAGGGGAAGGGAUUUUCAGGACCAGAGUUGGUCCAGGCACAGGAAGCACUAAUACCUGCCUCUUGGGGAACAAUUAUUGACAGAUGAUUAUCUUUCAAGGGCAUGCCAGGCACCCUUUCUUUUAGGAUUCAUCCCUGAUCCCCCAUGUUGGCUGGGGGUUCCUCUCUGGGCUCCCUGAUCCCUGGGCUGCUCUCUGUCCCAGCCCUAAUCACAUUGUGCUGUUAGUAUCUGUGUUAAUGACUCUCUCCCUCCAUAGACCACGGGCUUCUCUGCUGCUGGUUCUAGUUCAGCUUCCAGCACAAGGUGGCAUACAGUGGGUUUAGCACUGUGGUUCAGAGCAUGGGCUCUGGAGCCAGCCUGCCUAUGUUUGAUUCCCAGGUUGACCACUCACGAGCCCAAAGACCCAGGGCCAGUCACUUAACCUCUCUGGGUCUUCGUUUCCUCAUCUGUAAAGUGGGAGUAAUAAUGGUAAUUACCUCACCGAAUUGUUACAAAAGUGAAGAAUGUAAACCAUUUCGAGCAAUGCCUGGCACAGAGUCCGUGCUCUGUAAGGGCCAGGUAUCUUUAUCUUGGGUAUUUUGGGUCUUCAUUUUGUAUAAAGCAGAUCUACCUGCAUUAGCAGGUGUGAUUUCAUCCUUCCCUUUCUCCGGUCUGGCUGUGGGAAAGAGUUCUAUGUGUCUAGGCCUGGAGGGCACAGCAGGCCAAGGAAGACUGCAUAGAAGGAUUUAUAAUUGUUUUUGCAAAAUUUGACCCUGAAUCAAGUCUCUGUGUUGUGUGACGUGAAGUGCAAUUAGACUGACUUGUCCGUUCUCUACCCCUAGUCUGCUCAUAUGACACCCAUCUUCUGGGUUCAGAGGGUGCCGAGAGGCCUUGGCUGGUUUGUGUUGAGUGGCCUGGAGGGCUGGGAGGGCAGCCAGUAGGGAAGGGUGAGAAGAAAGUACCAGAAUGCUUCCUUUUAGGGAGGUUAUGGGUAGCAUAGUCCUACUGGAUAUGUCUACAGAACACAUUGUCUGGUACUAUAUAAUGUUUGUUAAAUAAAGUAAAAUAUCUCCCCAAUCAAUCUGGUGAGAGAGGAGACCUGGAACGGCCUUUGGAGUCUGUCUUGGCCCUGCCAUUUACUGGUUGUAUGACUUUUGGGAAAUUCAUUUGCCAUUUAUUUUAUUUUUUGCUUUUUAGGGCCGCACCUGCAGUAUAUGGAAAUUCCCAGGCUAGGGGUUGAAUUGGAGCUACAGCUGCCGGCCUACACCACAGCACAGCAAUGACAGAUCCCAGCCACUUCUGCGACCUACACACCACAGUGCAUGGCAACACUGGAUUCUUAACCCACUAAGGAAGUCCAGGGAUCAAAUCCAAAUCCUCAUGGAUGCUAGUUGGGUUUGUAACCUGUUGAGCCACAAUGGGAACUCUGUAAUUUGCCAUUUAAACCUCAGUUUCUGGAAAAUGAGGGGCUUAAAAGUCAAUGGUCUCUUCUUUAAGUUUCACUUUGAAAGUGGAGUUCCCGUCGUGGCUCAGGGGAAAUGAAUCCGACUAGGAACCAUGAGGUAGCAGGUUCGAUCCCUGGCCUCCCUCAGUGGAUUAAGGAUCCGGUGUUGCUGUGAGCUGUGGUGUAGUUCGCAGACUCAGCUCAGAUCUGGCGUUGCUGUGGCUGUGGUGUAGGCCGGCAGCUGUAGCUCCGUUUGGACCCCUACCUUGGGAACCCCCAUAUGCUGCAGGUGUGGCCCUGGAAAGACCAAAAAAAAAAAAAAAAAGAAAGUGGAAAUUUCUUUUUUUCCUCCCUCGUGGUACAAUGCAAACUAAUAUUUUACUCUAUACUGACUCUCACUAAAGAAUUUCAAUGUUUCUUCCCAAAAU
rnacentral:lncRNA from 1 species